rnacentral:lncRNA from 1 species
CGAAGAAAUCUGCAGGCGCACCCUUCUCCCUCUGCCCGCCCUGCCACAGGAGACGCUUCCAGGCUCCCGACGGGGAAGGCCAGAAAGGCUCUACUAGAAGGACCUCCCUACACUUGCCAGAACUAAAACUUAGGCAGCGGCAAAAACUCGGCGUCCAAAACGCGCCCGAAAGCCCUCCGAUGCCUGCAGGACGCUGGAGCCAGCUCGGCUGCAGCCGCCAUUGCACAAGGUCGCGCGCCCGGCACUGGCUGCCCAGAAGCCGGAGGGCAGGGAAGGUCCUCUGCACCAGAAAGGCUGCCCAUGGCACAAACCCUGAUCUCGUGUCCUGUGUCAAGGAAAGGAAAGGCAAAUAAAGGAAAGAAAAGGCGAAGGAGACCUACCUGAUUGAGGCCACGCGCCAACGGGAAAGGCCCAGUCCGCUCUACGUCCCGCAGUCGCACCUCAGAUAUGGGGUGAGAGGCGUCUUCCCAAGACCAGACACUGCCGGUGCCCUGUCACCUCCCACUUUUUUUCUGGAACUGCUAGGGGCCCAGCGCUGCUUCUGCAGCCUUCCAGGGGAUGCUGCUGGUGGCGCGUAUGCCGCCUAGGUGGGUGGGGAUGUGCUGAGGCCGAAGGAGUGACAGCGACUCGCAGGUUUCCCCUGCCUGACCAGUCCUCUGAUUGAUAUUUUCUUUUGAAAAAAGGGACUUGCGGCCGGGCGCGGUGGCUCACGC